AUCGUUUUAUUAGCGAUGUGCGUUUGUGGCUUGUCCCACGGAGGCGGCCAGCCGCUGGCCGUGCGCUGCGGCUGCCGCUGCCCUGGGGCAGGACCCGGCGUUUCCCUUCUCGCCGGGCCCGCCAGGCUCGGCGCUGCGGGGAAGCGCAGGCUCAGAGCCGGGGAUGGAGAGAACCGCUCCGGGCCACACGCGGGGAGCAUCACCCGGGCCCGGGCACACCCCGGGCUGCGCUCGGACCCGCACCCCGGCACCGGCCCGGCGGGGCCGCUCUCCCCGGCAGCCCCGGGCGGUGCGGGGAGUGCGGGGCACAGCCCGGCAGCCCCGCGCCCCCCCGGCCCCGCAGCUGCGCCCGUCCGUCAGCGCCGCCCCCCCGGGCGGGGCCGCCCGGCGCUGCCCCUUUAAGGCAGCGCAGCCCCGCGCGCAUUCCAGCGGCCGCGUCACCGUUCCGGGAAGCGGGUGGCGUCACCCCGCCAUCCCUCCCGCUGUCCAUCCCGCGGCGGCGGGGCGGGCCCCGGGGAACAAAGGCGGGAUAAAAAUAGAAGGUAGAGAAGAGGAAUAAAGAUGUGAGUGAGAAAUUUAGGACAUGUGGAGUCUGCCACGAGGUGUUUUGGUAAGGCUGUUUGGAAAGAAAACAAGUAUUGGGAUUUUGUGUGACUCACUGUGGUAGACAGGGUAAGAACUUCCUAUUCACAAAGUAGCUCCUUUGGCUCCUGUGGUGUAAAGCUACAUGUACCUCCGGCUACAUGGAAAAAAUUGCAAAAUAAUUAAAAUUCAAGAAGCCUGGAUUUAUUUGAAGUAAACACCAGCAGAGAUUUGGGAUGACUCCAUUAACAGCACUGCAGUCAUGCUGUUACUAAAAGGAUAUCUAAAGUGGGCAUCAUUUAAAGACAAAAUGGGAAAAAUUGAUAAGUCAUGGACUGAACAGCAGCAGUGUGAUUUUCCAUGAAUUCAGGCACCUGCAAAGUAUCAAAGCCAAAGGCAUCAUAUUUUUGGAAAAUGAGACUGAAGUUGUCAAGCAAGGAGCCAGCACUAUGAGCUGUUUAGUUCAUGCUGAUUUCCCCAGAACUGUAUCCAAGGAGGAUGUCACACUUUUCUGUUCUCAAGUUCAACCUUAUCUCUGAGAGCAUCAGCAAGUUUCCCCUCUUCUGAAAGAGAACUCUCCUGUGAUUUAUUUAUAAUCUCCUGCUUCUUCUUGUCGUUGGGGGUCUUACAAAGGGAAAACUACAGCAAUUUAAUACCUUUCCAAGCUAUCAUUUGUUUGAUGUAGUGACUAACAGUGAUUUUGAAACAACAAUAAAAGGAGAUGAUUUGCAAACUGUUUUGAGGCUUCUUCCAUUCUAAAGCACCAUCCUUUUUAUUUUUUACUUUUUAUUUUUACUGAAACAUGGAAGUCUAGCAGGUCUGACAAGAGCAGUCUGAACUGUGAUCCCACAUUGACUGCUAUGCUGAUGCUGCAAUGAAUUCACUGCCAGUGGUACCAUCAGACCACAAAGUUAAUAGCCUAAGCUGCAGUUUUCAAAGAACCACAAGGUCUUUUCUGCAGAAAAAAACUAACACAAAACCUGAUUUAAGUCAAUGAAAGACUCAUAUUCUGGCAAAGGGCUACCAAAAAAUUGUGUCUAUAUACACAUUAUGAAUAGAAAAGAAAUAACUUUAUGUUUUAUGCUAAAUUCUUGGAAAAAUCUCAGCUGCUCAAUCUGCAGGAUUCAGAGCCCCUGCAUUCCAUCAGGUGGUCAUGUUUAGAUUAGGAUGCAAUAUAUAACACAUUCUUAGGAGGAUUUCUCUUCACUGCACUCUCUACAACUGCAAAAAAAAAGAAAUAAAGAGAAUACUUUGAUUUGCAUUUCAUAAACCCUUUACUGAUUUUUUGUUGCUUACACUUGCAGUCCUAAUGCUUCAGUUACUAAUAAGAGAAACCCUUCUUAAGGUAGGGAUGAUAGAAUUUAUCCUGUUACAAAUGUGCUAGGGUCAAAGUGAGGGACUAUUGAAAAGAGUGCCAGGUGGGAAGCACCAACUGAGAUUAUGCAUCCUGUAGGUAACUGAACCCAUCUGAUAAUUCUUAACAUUCUGAAGAGUAAACUAUUAUUAACUACUAAAGGAAGGCAAUUCUUGGUGCAGCAAUUCAUUAAAACCUUAGACCUAAGUUAGCAAGAUGCAUGUUGGAAACACACAGCAAAAAUAAUGGCAUUUGCAAUGUUAUCUGGAAGCAGUAAGCAAAUUGAAAAGAAAUUAUAGACUCUCCAAAGGAGGUGUGGAGUAGGAGGGCUACAAUAGGGCUUUGCACAGCUUGCUUGUUUUGAGUGAAAUUCAUAGAUCAUGAGGGUACCUGUUAUGCUGGAAUAAUACAGAGGUCAGGGAAAUGCAGCUGCCUGAACAAAGCAGCCAUAGCUGACAGUUUGCUUUUAAGCAAAAUCAAUUUCAGGCCAUUGGCAAGUAAAACAGCCUUAGAAAUAAAAUAGCGUUGUUGAACUAACACUAAAAGAAAUACUGUGGUACUCUGAAUGCAUUUUUAAGAAGCAGUCAGUGAAAAAGCGUUAAGGAUGUGUCCACUUAAAGCCUUAUUGUUGUAACACUUCUAUUGAGUGAAGUAGCCUAAGUGAAAUAGCCUAGGAGGUGAUUAAAUGUGAGACCUUCAGUUUCCAAAUGGAAAUAAAACCAAAAAGGAGAUGUUCUGCAUUCUGAAGUGUACUCAGUUGUGAAAACCUUGUCUUUAAUAACAGAAAGGAAGGACUAAAGCAUCUCCCUCACAGACAGGGUGAAAGCAGGUUGGAUUUGUGAGGAUCUUGCAUUACAGGAGGGGGUUUUAUAUCACCAUUUCUUGUUGCAACAGGAGCACCUCCUCACUGAAAAGAACCCGAAAUUCAGUACAAGCAAAAGCUGUGUUACCUGCUUUGACAUCAGCAAAGGUGAUUUCAUAGGGAGAACAGGGAAAGCAGGGAAAGAACAGGAACCCUGAGCCUCUCAGCAGUGAUGAGCUGCAAUUGAGCUAGAAGGGGUUUUUUUGAAAUGCAGCUGGAUAUCAUGAUCCCAGAUGAAGCAAAGACUUCUGCAGUAGUCACAGCAGAACAACUACUGAAGCUGCCCCAUCAGCAAGUAUGCAAGGAAAUGAGAAGGGGAAAAAAAAAAAGUAGGCAAUGAAAAAUUAUUUGUGAAAUGUUGGCAACCAACCAACCCCCAAACCCACGUGCAUUCCCACAAAGACAACAGGUAUCAUCAAGGAGCAAACUCCCAGCUGCUGGUCUCUGAUCAGAAGGUGAGCAGUAAUAAUAAUAAGCACUAAUACAAAAAUAAUUAUCUGAAGCAAUAGUAAUUUCUUAGAUGCUGAUUUAUCUUUUCUACUCAGUGCACCAUCCAACAGUGGAAGGGCCCAUAUAGUCCCUCCUGCAAGUGGUCUAAUAGUGAGACACAAAACAAAUCUAGAAUAACAUCUGUAACAUUGUGAAAUAAUGGGCAAAUACAUAGAAACAGCUUUUCUAGUUAUUCAACUGACAGGCAGCUGUCCCCUGCAAACUAGAAGGUGGAGAAUCAUCUAAUAAAAUCUUCCCUUCAUAGAAAGUUACCAAAAUGCUUAAGAAAUUGAACAAUAAUACACAAUCAUUUUUAUUAUAUCUGUAUUAUUAAUACAGAAUUAGGAGCAGCUGCUUCGUUUUUCCCAUAUCAAUCAAAAUGGUGACAGAUAAAUCCACAUAUGGGACAAUUCACAUUCUACUUAAGUUAGUGAAAGUCUGGGAUUAGCAGCAACUUGUACAGCUCAGGCUCUGCUGCUGAAAGACUGCCAGGAAAAUGCCAUAAAGAGGUCUGCUUUCACCUUGCAGGACCUGCAGUUUUGCAUCAGGUUAAGAGGAAGAGGAACAUGGCAUUGCACACUUCAUUAAAACAACAGUGAUGAAGCUAGGGUAAGAACAAAGAAUAACUAAGAGACAAAAAAAAAGAGAGCUGAAAAUGUUAACAUAAAAAUGCUAACAACAUCCACAGGACACUAAACAGCUAUAAUAAACUCAUGCUGUAAGAGUAUGUCGCAAACUGUGGGCUACAAUUUCCUCUUUUUGUCAGAGAAAGAUUGGAGGAAGGUAGAAGGAAAUCACCAUAAUCUAAUAUAGAUGACAUCUUUGAUAAUUAUUUUUAAAAAGUAAAGUGUCCUUUAUCCAAACCUAACAUAAUAGUCUUAUUUAAAAUG